AGCAUAAGAAGUAGCAAUACUUUGGUGGCGACCGGCGCACGGGUGAGUAACACGUAUGCAACCUACCUGUAAGCGGGGAAUAACCCGGAGAAAUUCGGACUAAUACCGCAUAACACCGCUGAACUGCAUGGUUUAGUGGUUAAACAUUUAUGGCUUACAGAUGGGCAUGCGUAUGAUUAGCUAGUUGGUGAGGUAACGGCUCACCAAGGCAACGAUCAUUAGGGGUUCUGAGAGGAAGGUCCCCCACAUUGGAACUGAGACACGGUCCAAACUCCUACGGGAGGCAGCAGUGAGGAAUAUUGGUCAAUGGGCGAGAGCCUGAACCAGCCAAGUCGCGUGAAGGAAGAAGGUUCUAUGGAUUGUAAACUUCUUUUGUAAGGGAAUAAAGUGCAGCACGUGUGCUGUUUUGUAUGUACUUUACGAAUAAGGAUCGGCUAACUCCGUGCCAGCAGCCGCGGUAAUACGGAGGAUCCGAGCGUUAUCCGGAUUUAUUGGGUUUAAAGGGUGCGUAGGCGGACCCGUAAGUCAGUGGUGAAAGUUUGCAGCUUAACUGUAAAAUUGCCAUUGAAACUACGGAUCUUGAGUGUAAAUGAGGUAGGCGGAAUGUGUUGUGUAGCGGUGAAAUGCUUAGAUAUAACACAGAACACCAAUUGCGAAGGCAGCUUACUGGGAUACAACUGACGCUGAGGCACGAAAGCGUGGGGAUCAAACAGGAUUAGAUACCCUGGUAGUCCACGCAGUAAACGAUGAAUACUAGCUGUAUGCGAUAUACUGUAUGUGGCAAAGCGAAAGCGUUAAGU
rnacentral:rRNA from 1 species